CCCUUAGAUGUUCUGGGCCGCACGCGUGCUACACUGAACGGUUCAAUGGGUAAGGUAGUGCGAAAGCAUGACCUAAUCUCGAAAUCCGUUCGUGCUGGGGAUAGAAGCUUGCAAUUAUCCUUCUUGAACGAGGAAUACCUUGUAAGCGUGAGUCAUCAUCUCACGCUGAAUACGUCCCUGCCCUUUGUACACACCGCCCGUCGCUCCUACCGAUUGAGUGUUCCGGUGAGGCUUUGGGAGAAUGGCCUCAACAUGAGUUUAUCGUGUUUUGUCGUUUGAACUUAGUCAAACCUUAUCACUUAGAGGAAGGAGAAGUCGUAACA
rnacentral:rRNA from 1 species